rnacentral:rRNA from 1 species
UACAGAGGGUGCGAGCGUAAAUCGGAAUUACUGGGCGUAAAGCGUGCGUAGACGGUAGCGUAAGUCAGAUGUGAAAGCCCCGGGCUCAACCUGGGAAUGGCAUUUGGGACUGCAAGGCUUGAGUGCGGCAGAGGAGACUGGAAUUCCUGGUGUAGCAGUGAAAUGCGUAGAUAUCCGGAGGAAUACCGAUGGCGAAGGCAGGUCUCUGGGCUGACACUGACGCUCAUGCACGAAAGCGUGGGGAGCAAACAGG